GAACCUGCCUUGGGGUCUGGGAUAGCUGCGGGAAACUGCAGGUAACACCGGAUACGCACGAGAGUGGAAAGUUUAGGCCCUGGGAUGGGCCCGCGUCGGAUUAGGUAGUUGGUGGGGUAACGGCCUACCAAGCCUGCGAUCCGUAACCGGUCUGAGAGGAUGAUCGGUCACACUGGGACUGAGACACGGCCCAGACUCCUACGGGAGGCAGCAGUGGGGAAUCUUGGACAAUGGGGCAACCCUGAUCCAGCGACGCCGCGUGGGUGAUGAAGGCCUUCGGGUCGUAAAGCCCUUUUGCCGGGGAAGAUGAUGACGGUACCCGGAGAAGAAGCACCGGCUAACUCUGUGCCAGCAGCCGCGGUAAGACAGAGGGUGCUAGCGUUGUUCGGAAUUACUGGGCGUAAAGGGCGCGUAGGCGGCUCGUUUAGUCGGGUGUGAAAUCCCGGGGCUCAACCCCGGAACUGCAUUCGAUACUGGCGGGCUAGAGACCGAGAGAGGUGGGUGGAAUACCCAGUGUAGAGGUGAAAUUCGUAGAUAUUGGGUGGAACACCGGUGGCGAAGGCGGCUCACUGGCUCGGUUCUGACGCUGAGGCGCGAAA
rnacentral:rRNA from 1 species